rnacentral:lncRNA from 1 species
UUUUGUUUACUCCGUUGUCUGCUGAUGCAUGGAGCACAUUUUGGCACCAGUCUGGGCUGCAUGUGAAGUCUGUAGACAUAGACAGGCUCCUCACCUCUUGGUGGAGAGACCUGUGGCAAACUUUGUGUUUAGGAGGAUUAUCAGGGCAGGCCUGGGAUGGUCCUAUGAGGUGAAUUGGAGCGUUUCUUCUACAGAUAGGAGGGAAAUAGGACUGCCAGGGCCGUCCAGGGGACUGUGACCGAAGCACCGCUGGCCUAUGAUUCUGUGUCUCUCUCUUCUCUCCUGGCUCUGACCCUCAGAGCAGCUCCCCCUGGGGGUCGGAGGCCGGUGGCGGUUCCAGCCUCGUCUGUUUCCUCUGGCAGCUGUGUGGAACAUCAGCUGACCAGGCUCUUUCCUGGAAUGUGUUGCAAGCCUAGCAUUUCCUCUUGCACGUCAGCUGCCAGCCCAGUGCUGAUGAACCAAUGACUCGGUUUCCCUGUUGCGAUGGCUGUGUCUCAUAGAGGCCCAUUGCCGCAACCUGCAGGCUGUGGGACGUGGCCUGGGCACCUGUGAGCCCAUCCACUUCAGCUGUGUUCAGUGGGACUGGGAGGGGAGGCUGCCGGAGGCCGCAGGGUGCUGUGGCCCGCAGGGGCCAAGGGCAAAGCAAUCAGUGAGGCCAGGGAGAGCUGGGCUGGGACCCUGAGCCCCUCCAAUCGCUCCCAGUGGCCUCUCCCACCCCGCAAGCCCUGCAGUGCCCCUCCUGGGCGUCCAGCUGCCGCCCUCCCCACUCCCCGGUCUUGCUGGUUCUCAAGACGGGGAGAAGAGAGCAAAGUCAGGAUGCGGAAAUGGAGUGGCUGGGGCACCCAGGACUGGUCAAGGUGGGACACAAAUACUGACUGCCAUUUAGAGAAGAAUAUGUGCAAUAUACACAAGUUUGCACGCAUGCACAUACACACACACAUGUGGCCACGUGUUCACACAUGCACUUCUAUGCACACAGACUUGCAUACGCAUGUGCACAUGCAUGUGCGCGUGCACACACACACAGACACACACACACUCAUCUGGUUUCCCAAAAGGUCUCUUCAGGAGCGAGUUCCUCGGGCUGGGAGACAGCUGGCGGUGUUGAGACUGAAGUCUGCUUCUGCUCACAGGGAGGUGGGCAGGACCCGUGGUGCCCUGUGAGCACAGAGGGCGUGGGCCCGUCUGCAGCUCUGCGGCUCACUGCGACUCUGGGUGAGCCCUGCAGUCCAGAGCAACACACAGCGGGUGUGCAAGACACAUUCGUGCACAUUGGCCCUAUUUCAUAGCCAUGUUACUCUCUGAAAGUUUUGAAGCAACUUAGAAUAAUAAUGAACAAAGCCAGGCUUGGUGCCUACUACUAAGCCUAUAAUUUGAGCACUCUGGGAGGCUGAGUCAAGAGGACCACAAGUUCUAGCCCAGUCUGAGAAACUUAGCAAGAUCCUGUCUCCAAAAUAAAAAGGGGUGGGGAUGUACAGAUGUAGCUCAGGUAAAGGCCCUGGGCUCACUCUGCAGUACUGAAAAGAAAAUUAAACAAAACAACAAAAAGGUGCAUCAGUGAUAUGAGAGGAACACAACGAUGAUGGACAUAUAAAGUUAAAAGGUGAAAUCAGCACUUGAACUCUGAUGUGGCCAGGGAGAUCGCAUUUCACCCUGGAGAGAUGAAGCCCUCCAUGCUGGUGAGGGAGAUACUGCCCUGGGCCUGACCCCGAGGACACACUGGGCAGAGCCGGGUGGCCUCGGCCUCCCUCAGGGGCAGACAAGGGCCCACAGGACAGCUUCAGGGACAGCAGCACCUAAGUUUGACCCUGGUAAGCUCAGGACUGCCCUUCUGGAGCACCCAGGUUAUCUUUGAUUCUUUUCAUCCUAACAAACGAGCAGGACACAGGGGAGGCAGAGGGAGGACAGUGCACUGUGAACAGCCUUACACCGGGCUGCCUGGGCUCGAAUUCGGCCCCAUCAGAAUUACUCUGCCAGUGCACAGUUACUUAGUUUCUGCACUUCAGUUUCCUAACUGGUAGAAGUGUGUCAGCAUGCUAGCCUCAGGGUUCUCUGAGGAUGAAUCGCGUUGGGAGGCAUGUGUAGUGUGGAGCGGCACUUGGCAUGCAGGGAGGACUGGCGAGCAGUGGCUGUCGGGAGGGCGUGGGCCCCCGAGUGUGCAGUUCUUGUGGUGCUGGGCUCUGCACUUUCCAGCCUGUGGCCCUCAGGAAGGUGUCCCCUCUCCCCUCUCCCCUCAGGAUUUGGGGCGGUGACUCACUCAGCCAGGGCAGAAUUUCCACAAGUGCAGCCGGGGUCCUGUGAUCAGGGUUGAGCAAGGUGUGUGUGUGCGUGCAUGUGCGUGUGUGUGCAUGUGUGUUUCUUGUGCCUUUUAUUGCUUUGCUUGAGGAAGGCAGAUUCUUGGUGGCAUCCAAUCACAACCUCACUUUACAGCUGUGUGAUGCUGACAGGCACAUGUCGCCCACCUUAUCUGUGUGACCUAGAAGCUUGAACCACAUUCAGUUGGGGUUGAGGCGGAAAGCGAAGCAGUGGGUCCUCCACAGCAGGUGGGCAGCUGAGCUCGGGAAGGACAUCAGACACCAGACUGCAGUCUCUGGUCCGAGGUUCACAGUGCCACUCCUGACUGGGCUGCCUCCUGGGGACUGGGAAAAUCAUGGGCACCACAGGCCCUCAGGGCCCACCUAGCAGAGUCCCUGGGGUCUUCCAUGCACGCAAGGUGCUGGCCACCUUCAGGGGCUGUCGUGUGACGACCCAAGUGAGAGCUGGAGGGCGGAGAUGGCUGAAAUCUGAUCUAGAGAGCACCUCUGUCCAUGCAGCAGAGCCCAGCCUCCUGCUGACCCCGCCGGUCUGAUGGCUGGAGCAUGUGCUCCUUCUUCCAGGAGGGUGUGCAGCUGACUUUGGAAGACCGUGCUCUCGGCCUGGAGCCCGUGGUGCAGUGUCUGCCCUGGGCACGAAGAGGAAGGAGGAGAGUUCUCAGGGCUGAGGCCUGAGCUGAGCUGAGUGGGGAGUGGAGGAGGAAUGGGUGGAAAUGGGAGUGGCCCAAAGCACCGGAUCAGCACUGGGAGGGUUUGGCUGGAGUGAGGACAGCUGGGGGCCCCACACGAGCAGCUUUGACUUAAUUCUCUUGGAGGACAGGCCAAGGACUCGCCUCUGACCCUAUCCAUGGGCGCCUUUCACAGGCAGUGUCAGGGGCCAGGGCAGGGUGAGGGUCUGCAGCCGUGUGUGCAAAUGGGAGUGCAUGACACCCAGUGUGCAGGGCAACCAUGUCCUGAGCACCUUUUGCCCUUGCUGGUUCACGGCUCUCAGUCUUCCUGGCCCUGAGCAGGUGAUCUAGGGUUUACAUACGCUUGGAUUUUACAAGUCUACUCACAUCACACUGUGCCAUCUUGUCAGAAGGAGAAACUGAGGCAAAAGAUCCUGAAGAACCUGCGGGGAGGAGCUGCCCUCCAAUCUGAAACAAGACGCAGGGAACAGACUGCCCAGGCUCCUUCGUUCAGCAGUCUGCACCUGUAUUUGGUUCUUUCCCUCCAUAUCUUGGAAAGAGGGGAGAGAGAAGUUCUUUGGGCAACGGCCAUCUGGAGCACUUCUCACUGGGCACAGGUUUGGGGGGGGAUGGCAGGAGGCUGUUGCCCCAAUAUUCCUUAGACUGUGGGUGAAUGGAGAGCUAGAAGUAUGGAGAUUCAGCAGGUUAGGAUUGAUGUAGGGGCCGGGUGGCUCCAGCACUCUUGGAGCUCAAAGCAGGAAGAUCAUCAGUUCAAGGCCAGCCUGGGUAAUUUAGCAAUUUAGGAAGGCUCAGUCUCAAAAUAAAAAGAGGGCUGGGGAUGUAGCUCAGGGUGAAGGCCCCGGGUUCCACCCCCACUACCAAAACAACGGAAACAAAGGAAGAGAAGAAGGAAAAGAGAGCAUGAAGAGAGAGACAGAGAGACGGAGACAGAAAGAUGGAGACAGAGGGGAGAGAGAGAGACAGUGUGGUCCCCUCUUAACCCCUAGCUGUGUGGGAAAGAGACAGGAGGAGGAAGACUGCACAGGAGACAGGAGGGCGUGGCCUGAGCUGGAGCAGAGGGGCCGCUGGUGGCCUGGCGCUGAAACCCUACUGCUAAGCCGGGCCCUUCCACAGCCCUGCUGUGAGGGUGAGGAAGAGCACUGGCUGCGGUUGGUCCAGGACCCUCGGGGGAGCGCUUGUCCGCCCGCCCAUUACCCCGGCCCUGGGAGCCUCCUCUCUCCCCUGCCCAGAAGCUCUCUUGCUCUCUCUGUCCCCGGGCUUUGAGAAGGGCAGGGCGCCCCGCCCAGGAGGGGAAGUGAACAGCAGCCUCCGCCCUGGGUUCCCAGUGAGCGUGUGAGCGUGUGAACGUGUGUGAGUGUGUGUGUGUGUGUGUGUGUGUGUAGGCUCACGCAGAUCAGACACAGAGCGCAGAGUGGAGAGCUUCCCGGACCUUCACAGAGAGCUUGGCCCUUGAAGCUUGUCACAGCCGGCCCAGCUGAGCAGAGGCGCAGGAGCAGCCUGGGGUGUCCCCACAGCCAGAUCACAGAAGCUCGGGGACACUCGGACCUUCAGGAGGCAGGAGGUGAUGCCUGGAAUGGAAGUUUCACUUGUCCGGCAGCCCAACCCUCAUGUGGCGCAUUCUGGGGAGCAGAGGUGAUGCUGGGCUAUGGCUUCACAUCUCCAUGGACCCUCUGAGGCUGGUGGGACCCCUCGCUACCUACAGCCUGGGCUGGUGUUCCCCGAGGUCUUCUUUUUCUCACAAAAGAAGCCAGGAUAGGGCCGGGGAUUUAGCUCAGUGGUUCUGGCACCUGCCUCACAAGCGCAAGGUCCCGAGUUCGAUCCCUGGUAUCAAAGAAAGAAGCCGGCUUAGCUCACCUCCCUGCAUGUCUGUCCCCACGGCACGUGCUGUUCCUCUGGCGGCUGGAGUUACCUGGGGACUGGGGCUCACGCUCUCCAGGGUCUCAUAGUAGCAGGGGUCUGGCAGUAUGGCUGGAGCAGUCGGAUGUGAUGGCCGAGUGAGGAGACUCACUAACCACAGAUGGAGAAUGGCAGCACCCAAGCCUGACUCGGGACCAAGCUGAACCCUGUACCCAGCACCAGUGAGAACAUGAAGAACCUGGCACGUGAUAUCAGUCUUCUAGCACGAGGCCAGUGUGACCUCCGGGGUCAGCUGUGGAGACACAGAAGGGCGGCAGUGACUGAGCUGUGGCCACCGACCUCUUGCUCUUGCAGCAUCUGUUCUGUGUGCAGGACACACCCGCUCUUUUUCCUUCAGAGCACCUUUUCUCCCUGAGCACUUCUGUGCUUCUCCCUUUUAUUCCUGCCC